rnacentral:misc_RNA from 1 species
GAAAUGCGAUAAGUAAUGUGAAUUGCAGAAUUCAGUGAAUCAUCGAAUCUUUGAACGCACAUUGCACCCGCCAGUAUUCUGGCGGGCAUGCCUGUUCGAGCGUCAUUUCAACCAUCAAGCCCCGCGCUUGUGUUGGGGACCUGCGGCUGCCGCAGGCCCUGAAAACCAGUGGCGGGCUCGCUGUCACACCGGGCGUAGUAGAUUUUAUCUCGCUCAGGGCGUGCUGCGGGUUCCGGCCGUUAAAAAGCCUUUUUUACCCAAGGUUGACCUCGGAUCAGGUAGGAAGACCCGCUGAACUUAAGC